rnacentral:misc_RNA from 1 species
AAGGAGCACCACGAAAAGCACUCCAAUUGGUGGGGUGCGAGCCGUGAGGGGUUCCCGCCUGUAGUGGGCGGGGGCCGGGUGCGCAACAGCAAAUGAUUGCCAGACACACUAUUGGGCCCUGAGACAACACUCGGCCAGUCCGUGUGGUGUCCCUCCAUCUUGGUGGUGGGGUGUGGUGUUUGAGUAUUGGAUAGUGGUUGCGAGCAUCUAGACGGAUGCGUUGCCGGCAACGGUCGCGUGUUCGUCGAAAUGUGUAAUUUCUUCUUUGGUUUUUGUGUGUAAGUAAGUGUUUAAGGGCGCAU